GACGAACGCUGGCGGCGUGCUUAACACAUGCAAGUCGAACGGAAAGGCCCUGCUUUUGUGGGGUGCUCGAGUGGCGAACGGGUGAGUAACACGUGAGUAACCUGCCCUUGACUGUGGGAUAACUUCAGGAAACUGGGGCUAAUACCGGAUAGGAGCUCCUGCUGCAUGGUGGGGGUUGGAAAGUUUCGGCGGUUGGGGAUGGACUCGCGGCUUAUCAGCUUGUUGGUGGGGUAGUGGCUUACCAAGGCUUUGACGGGUAGCCGGCCUGAGAGGGUGACCGGCCACCUUGGGACUGAGAUACGGCCCAGACUCCUACGGGAGGCAGCAGUGGGGAAUAUUGCACAAUGGGCGGAAGCCUGAUGCAGCAACGCCGCGUGCGGGAUGACGGCCUUCGGGUUGUAAACCGCUUUCGCCUGUGACGAAGCGUGAGUGACGGUAAUGGGUAAAGAAGCACCGGCUAACUACGUG
rnacentral:rRNA from 1 species